rnacentral:rRNA from 1 species
GAUGAACGCUGGCGGCGUGCCUAAUACAUGCAAGUCGAGCGAACAGACAAGGAGCUUGCUCCUCUGACGUUAGCGGCGGACGGGUGAGUAACACGUGGAUAACCUACCUAUAAGACUGGGAUAACUUCGGGAAACCGGAGCUAAUACCGGAUAAUAUAUUGAACCGCAUGGUUCAAUAGUGAAAGACGGUUUUGCUGUCACUUAUAGAUGGAUCCGCGCCGCAUUAGCUAGUUGGUAAGGUAACGGCUUACCAAGGCAACGAUGCGUAGCCGACCUGAGAGGGUGAUCGGCCACACUGGAACUGAGACACGGUCCGGACUCCUACGGGAGGCAGCAGUAGGGAAUCUUCCGCAAUGGGCGAAAGCCUGACGGAGCAACGCCGCGUGAGUGAUGAAGGUCUUCGGUUCGUAAAACUCUGUUAUUAGGGAAGAACAAAUGUGUAAGUAACUAUGCACGUCUUGACGGUACCUAAUCAGAAAGCCACGGCUAACUACGUG